CCUACGGGUGGCAGCAGUGAGGAAUAUUGGUCAAUGGACGAGAGUCUGAACCAGCCAAGUAGCGUGAAGGAUGACUGCCCUAUGGGUUGUAAACUUCUUUUAUAAAGGAAUAAACCGAGGCACGUGUGCCCUUUUGCAUGUACUUUAUGAAUAAGGAUCGGCUAACUCCGUGCCAGCAGCCGCGGUAAUACGGAGGAUCCGAGCGUUAUCCGGAUUUAUUGGGUUUAAAGGGAGCGUAGAUGGGUUGUUAAGUCAGUUGUGAAAGUUUGGGGCUCAACCGUAAAAUUGCAAUUGAUACUGGCAGUCUAGAGUACAGUUGAGGUAGGCGGAAUGCGAGGUGUAGCGGUGAAAUGCUUAGAGAUCACGAAGAAUCCCGAUUGCGAAGGCAGCUUACUAAACUAUGACUGACAUUGAGGCUCGAAAGUGUGGGUAUCAAACAGGAUUAGAUACCCUUGUAGUC
rnacentral:rRNA from 1 species